rnacentral:rRNA from 1 species
GUUUCAGCAGCCGCGGUAAUACGUAGGUGGCGAGCGUUGUCCGGAUUUACUGGGCGUAAAGAGCGCGCAGGCGGCUGGGCAAGUCCGAUGUGAAAGCUUCCGGCUUAACUGGAAAACAGCAUCGGAAACUGUUCAGCUUGAAGGUGGGAGAGGGUAGCGGAAUUCCCGGUGUAGUGGUGAAAUGCGUAGAUAUCGGGAGGAACACCAGUGGCGAAGGCGGCUACCUGGCCCAUUCUUGACGCUGAGGCGCGAAAGCUAGGGGAGCAAACGGGAUUAGAAACCCCUGUAGUCC